AUCUUUUGGUGCACGGUUCUGCCCAUCCGCCAUCAACGCGGACGCGCCCGUCAAGGAAGGUUGUCGCGUCAUAGAUCCCCAUCCUCCUUCCUCCCCAUCUGCUCCCCGCCAUCAACGCUCUCCAUGGAAGUCGAGUCCGCGAUGCUCGCGUCGUCCCUAAACCCCGCCCCGACUCUCUCCGCGUCCGCGACAACCCGAUUUCCAGCGUCCUCCACCCCGAAUCGCCGCCCCGGCUCUCUCCAUGGAAGGCGCGUCUGCGACAGCCCGAUCUCCGUGGAAGGCGUGUCUUCCUCCCCAGAUCGUCGUCCCGGCUCUCUCCACGCCCGUGACAGCCUGCUCUCUAUGGAAGGUGAGUCUGCGAUGCUCACGUGGAUUGGGUACCCCGCCCCCGCUCUCUCCAUGGAAGGCGUGUCUCCGAUAGCCGCAUCCUCCCUUGCGAACCGCGUGCGUCAUGGCAACACGGGCGAGGCGGUGGGGAGUCUGGUGGACGCGCAUCACGGUGAGACGAACGGGGGCAAGGGCAAGGGAUAUAUUUUCCAUCCGGGGCGGAUGUGGAGAGGUUCUUCAAACUCUGUGACCCUGGUGAGUGCGCUCGAUCUCUGGUCUUCCGUGGUUUUUCUGCUUGGGUUUCGUUGCUUUGGUGGGGGAUUGGAUCAUUGGAAGCUAAAUUUGGAGAAAUCUCCCUUUUCUCUGUCUCCUCUACCCUCACUCGACAUGCUUCAGAUUCGAUUAUUGGUGGCCUUACAGCUUUCGUUAAUGCUCUGCUUGUGCUUGAUUGUAGCUGUUCGAAUUUGGUUGUUACUUGUUAGCGCUAUGGGGUUGCUAUCAAUCUUGUAUUGACAGCUUGCUUGCAGAAAAUCACUAGAUAUUUUUGGCUGAUCGGCGCCGUGGAAUUUCGAUUGUGUACUGGGUGCUUGGUUUCUAUAUGACUAGGCAGUUUGCUCUUCCAUCUAUCGCACAGCGCCACAUCUUGGCUGGUCUGGCAUCAGCAGUUGACGGUCUGAGUGCACCAUAUGAAAGAGCAUCAUGUAUUCAUGAAAGACAUGUAGUGAACUGGCUGUGGGCUGCAGGCUGUCAUCCGUUUGGACCAUUCUCGAACUCCUCCCAGAUCAGUCAAAUUCUUUAGGAUGUAGCACUGGUAAUGUUAUCAACAACAUUUUUUUAUUUCUAUGAUAUGUACAAUGAGUAGGCAGGGAGCGAGGGAGGUCAAUGCUCCUAUGUCGAAGUGCAGCUUAAAGUAGAAAAUCUGUUCAUGCUUCCAAUGGUUUGCACAGUGCAUAGGUAUGCAAACCAACAAAGGAAAACGAGGCCAAACUAUGCCCCAAUUGUUUCUGUCUGAGUUUGCCAGUUUCAAUUUUUUGGAUCAACAUAACUUGGGUAUGUUGGAAAUAAUCCCGUGUCUAGGUUCAUAGCAUUUACUUUAGCUAAAUUUCAGCAUGGAAUAAUAGGAAGUAAUAUGCUGAUUAGUUGAGUAAUAUCCUGCAUUUAUUAGGGGCUAUCAUUGCUUUAUUUGUAGCUCACAUUGGUUAUAAUAGUAGUAGUAGAAGAGAAAAUAGAAAAGGCAAGCCAUUCCAGCCACCAAAAACACUUGUACUAUGUUCCUGUGACCUUUUGGAGGCUUUCAACCUGUCAGGAAUCAGGAUAUUUGAUGCAUCCAAUUAUCUAAAUCCAACAAAUCUUGGUAUUAUGCUUACUGUAUAAUCAUGGUCGUAUUAUUUUUUAGUCUGUUGAUAUUUCACUGGCAUAAAUUGUUUCUUCUGUGCUUUCAUAUCCACUAUGUAACCCAUGUUUUAUUGUUUGUAGAGAACUACAAUUUAUGCUCAAGUCAAUGCUGCUCUUCGCAAAAUAAGAGACACAUCAGAGUUUGUCCAAUCUUUUGCAUCAGAGCAUCUUAAGACGCCAUUAGAAGAACUUGUGAAAGGUAAUAAAAACAAGUCCACCACUGAGUUAUGGGUAGAGAAAUUCUAUAAGAAGGUAACCAAUCUACCGGAGCCUUUUCCCCAUGAUCUUGUUGAGAAGUUAGAAGAAUACCUGGAUAAACUUGAAGGGCAACCCGUGGACUUGUCUUCCUUAUUGUAUGACCACCAGCUGAUCGAUGCAUAUCAAAACAGUACCGACAUCCUGCAAAGCACUAUUUUUACACAACAGUAUGUGGAACGUGUUCUAGCUAACGAGAGAGACAAGAUGAAAUGCUGUAGCAUUGAAUAUAGUCAUCCAAAGCAGUCAUCCCAGGCUUUUGUCUAUGGAGGGAUCCUUCUGGCUGGAUUUAUUGUGUAUUCACUGGUUAUUUUCUUCUCUUCACCUGUUCGCUAAUUUUAUGUCCAGAUGAAGAAAGUCCUGGAUGCUUUAUGGUAGGCUAGGUUUGUCUAGGGUUGUCAAUCUUCAUGAGGGAAUGACCUAGACCGUCUUGGAUAUAGAAGGGCUUUGGCACAGUUUUAGUGCGCUAUUUCGCGAUACACAAGCAAUCAGACGUCUGAUAUAUAUGUAACUGAUUCUUGUCUGCGAUAAACUAUAGUCGAUUUCACAGAAGAGUAGGUGCAUGCUAUGAAAAUAUGAAAUACUUUCCCCCAUUUUGCAACUUGUUACUGCAGAACUGCACAUAACACCACUGACAGAAACCCGUUUGUUAUUAAGCCCCCCAGCUUCAUGUGGACCAGCCAGCAGACCUGUGGCCGUGGAGUGGUGCAAGGGCGUAGUCGCUUUAUUUCAUGGCAAUCAUCUCCAAAAAUUAUUUUCCUUGGCUCGUGUGUUUUUUAUCCUUUUGAAAAUUGCCUGACGCCAAGGCUCCACCAUACGCCUGAAGCGCUGAGGCCUCAAUGUCCAGCGUGUUUCAAUAUAAAAGAUUGCUUUUAGCUAGGGCAAUGGUGGUUGUGCAAGCAGUAUUUAGGUGCAAACGUGCAAGCAAGUUCUCUGGUCCGUUUUGAUUUGUUCCAUCCUGCUAUAUAUUUUGCACCAGUUUAUAAUUAUCUUUUGGCACAUGAUCACUACAUAUGUGAGUUGGCUCCAAUAAUUUAACUUUGAUUCCAUGGAACAUUUUAUUUUCAUCCGGACACUUCUGUCUUUCUCAUAAAAUUUUUAUUGCUUGUAAAUUUACUAUUGGUGCUCAAAUAUUCUUUGCUUCAUCAAAAAAAUUCCUUGAUCAGUUCUGGUGAUUAUAACAAUUUUAGUUUUUUGGUUAUAACUUUUUCCUUUCUCAGAACAUUUCUCUUUGCUUGGAGCAUUUUCCUUAGUAUUUAGAACAAUUUAUUUUUUGAUCGAUUUUUUUCUUUGCUCAGAUCAAUGCUUGUUGCAACAUCAUAGUGCACCUGAUGGGGAAUCCAACAUGUUUCACGUGACAUGUAGGGGAAGGCAUCGAAAAAGGUGAAGGUUGUAGAAAAGGGCCCUAAAAAGGGCACGAUGAAAGCCCAACUUGCUAAGAGAGGUAGGAAGGCUAAGAAUUGAUGACAUGUUGAUUUCCUCGUCAGAGAAAAAAAUGCUAUAGCAACAAAGAUGAGAAUUCUUCAACGCAUUAGCCAUCGUUGUGAGGCGCAUCAUCAAUUCAACAUCAUGUAGUGCUGGUUUUAGAGAGAAAGGCAACAUGUAAAGCUAUAAAUGUUGUGUACUCUACGAGUGUUCAGCUUUGGAUCAUUGAAAAGAUCAAGAUGUUGAACUAAAGUUGAA